rnacentral:rRNA from 1 species
UACGUAGGGGGCAAGCGUUGUCCGGAUUUAUUGGGCGUAAAGCGCUCGCAGGUGGUUCGUCGCGUCGUGCGUGAAAGACCCCGGCUCAACUGGGGAGGGUCGUGCGAUACGGGCGGACUGGAGGCCAGUAGGGGGAUGCGGAAUUCCGGGUGUAGUGGUGAAAUGCGCAGAUAUCAGGAGGAACACCGGUGGCGAAGGCGGUUCUCU